GGUGGGGUGCGUGAGUGGUUGAAACGAGCGGUCUUGAAAACCGCCAUGUCGAAAGGCAUCGUGGGUUCGAAUCCCACCCCCACCGCCA
rnacentral:tRNA from 1 species